rnacentral:lncRNA from 1 species
AAGCCUCCAAAGAAGGAGCUUCCACCACACUCCAAGGCAGAGAAUUACACUGCUGAACAGCUCUUACAGUCAGGAAGGUCUUCCUUAUGUUCAGGUGGAAUCAGAGGCGGUUCAACCACCAGGCCAACUAGGCAGUUGCCUGUGGCGCCAUCGAGGCAACUCCUGUCUCCUGCGGCCUGCCUCCGCAAGAGAAAUCUAAUGAAGCCAGAAACAACCCUGAGGUUGAAGACGCCACACAUACGGAUGCUGAUAUUUGAGAGAAACUGGGUUUGGGCAGGCAGGGAGUGCUCCAUGGGGAAUAAAGCCAUUUAUACACAAGAGAGCAAGCAAUCAUUUCCUUGCAUGAUAUCUCUAAUGCCUGUCUGGAGUAGAACCUAGAUAUCUGGUGUUUGCCCCUGCCCCUCACUUAUUGAGACAUGACAAGAAAACGAAUGAAUAAGAAAGGAAAUAAGAGAAAUGUACCCAGCUGAGUGAAUAAAAGAAGAGACCAAAAUGAAGGAUCACUUGACAGGAAAACCCUAUUUGCUGCUGGCAGAAGCCCACAAUUCACUUCUUUAUCCAGAUGCUUCAUUUUUAAAAAUCUUAAGUUCGGUGGUAAACAAAGUACUUCUUUAUUUUUAGACUGCCUUUGACUCUAUGCCAUAAAAUCUUUUCUUUUUAAAAUGUUUCUCACAAGACACUUGCCUAAGA